GUUGCUGAGCUUGUUGUGUAGUGUUCAUCACCUUUGCUUCAUACACAAAAGCUCAUCGGUUCGAUCCCAUGCAGCAACU